UGCUGAGCGCAGAGCAUGACAUGAGAGCUAAUCUUAUUAGCCAGACAAAGAGGAGAGGAGAGGAUGGUGGGAGAGUGAAAGCUCAGAUGGUUUUUUUCCCAGCAUGCCACACAGGUCCUGAACUUCAUGUGAACCAGAGUCAGCGUCCUGUAAACCUCAGUCUGCACGUUCCACCUCUGAAGAGCUGAAGAGCUUCAUUACAAAACACUGCUGCUCCAGACCGGACGGAGCAACAAUGACUGAGCUAGUGAAGAGUUCUGCAGGACUCUGACUCUGUGAUGGCGUCAGUAAUACUGAUGAACGGGACAGAAACACAGAGAAGGAACUGGAUCGUAACCAGGUCAUUUACGGACAUGCACGGUUCUAAUACUGGUACAUCUGGAACCAAUCAGAGAGCAGGAAAUACUGAAGACGAUGAUGAAAUGAAAGACAGAAUGACAGAAACAGCAGCGUCUCUACAGCCCUCUACAGCCACCCAGCUAAGCCCCGCAGACGUGUGGUCGGCCGGUCGAGCUCCGGGUGAGUUCAGCUGGUUCUUACCCUGAUACCAGCGAAGCGGGACGCGGCCCGGAGAGGACGCAGAGCCCUGAGCGUCCUCAGCACCCGCAUGGUGGUGAUCUGGUCCACAGAGACGAACUGAGCCAGCAGACCCACCACUGAGAUCUACAGGGCGGUGGUCACACAGUUACUGUUCAACUCUCAUCUACGGAGGGGCGGUUAGGACAUUUUUCACAUCACAUGACUCCACUCUGACAUUUCCAUGAACGUCUCCUCUACAUCAACAAACACUGUUCUGUCUCUGUUUACUCUCAUUCACUUCUACUUCAUCAGUGUUUUAUUCAGCGUUAAGCUUCUGCCACUGAAACACAACACUUCCACCUUAAAUUUCAAAAUAAAAGCCUGUUAGGAGAGGCAAUGUACUGUGCCUUUUAAUGUGAAACAUCUAUUUAAGAAUGAGUUUCAUUCACUGUGGCGUGGAAGUGAAGAAAAACACAGAGAAGUAGAAGCAAACAAUGAUUAAAAUAACAAGACGUUCCUCUGUCUGUGACUGAAUCAGAACGUUUUAAAGCUGCAGGUAAAGAUGAAGGUAAAAUUCUGUAAAAUCCCUGUUUUUGUCAGUGGAGUCAAAAGAAAAAGAGUCUCAUCUGUCCCAUGAUAAACGAGCUGUAAUCAUUAUCUUCAUCACUGAACGUCACCUUCAUCAUCAUCACUGCUAAAUAACAACAUUAAAAAGAACUUCACCUUCUCUGUUAUCACUGUCAUCAUCCAACAACAAAUCAUCAGGUCAAUAAACCAAUAAACCGA